UUGUGCCAGCCGCCGCGGUAAUACGAAGGGGGCUAGCGUUGCUCGGAAUCACUGGGCGUAAAGGGCGCGUAGGCGGCCAUUUAAGUCGGGGGUGAAAGCCUGUGGCUCAACCACAGAAUUGCCUUCGAUACUGGGUGGCUUGAGUCCGGAAGAGGUUGGUGGAACUGCGAGUGUAGAGGUGAAAUUCGUAGAUAUUCGCAAGAACACCGGUGGCGAAGGCGGCCAACUGGUCCGGAACUGACGCUGAGGCGCGAAAGCGUGGGGAGCAAACAGGAUUAGAUACC
rnacentral:rRNA from 1 species